rnacentral:rRNA from 1 species
AGCGAACGCUGGCGGCAGGCCUAACACAUGCCAGUCGAACGAACCUUUCGGGGCUAGCGUCGGACGGGUGAGUAACACGUGGGAACGUGCCUUUAGGUUCGGAAUAACUCAGGGAAACAUGUGCUAAUACCGCAUGUUCUCUUCGGGGGUAAGACUUAUCGGCUUUAGAGCGGCUCGCGUCUGAUUUCCUAGUUGGUUGAGGUAAUGGCCCACCAAGGCGACGAUCAGUAGCUGGUCUGAGAGGAUGAUCACCCACAUUGGGACUGAGACACGGCCCCAACUCGUGCGAGAGGCAGCAGUGGGGAAUCUUGCGGAAUGGGCGAGAGCCUGACGCAGCCAGGCCGCGUGAAUGAUGAAGGUCUUAGGAUUGUAAAAUUCUUUCGCCGGGGAGGAUAAUGACGGUACCCGGAGAAGAAGCCCCGGCUAACUUCGUG